AGCGAACGCUGGCGGCAGGCCUAACACAUGCAAGUCGAACGAACUCUUCGGAGUUAGUGGCGGACGGGUGGGUAACCCGUGGGAACGUGCCUUUAGGCUCGGAAUAACUCAGGGAAACUUGUGCUAAUACCGAAUGUGCCCUUCGGGGGAAAGAUUUAUCGCCUUUAGAGCGGCCCGCGUCUGAUUAGCUAGUUGGUGAGGUAAAGGCUCACCAAGGCGACGAUCAGUAGCUGGUCUGAGAGGAUGAUCAGCCACAUUGGGACUGUGACACGGCCCAAACUCCUACGGGAGGCAGCAGUGGGGAAUCUUGCGCAAUGGGCGAAAGCCUGACGCAGCCAAGCCGCGUGAAUGAUGAAGGUCUUAGGAUUGUAAAAUUCUUUCACCGGGGACGAUAAUGACGGUACCCGGAGAAGAAGCCCCGGCUAACUUCGUG
rnacentral:rRNA from 1 species